rnacentral:rRNA from 1 species
UGGGGAAUUUUGGACAAUGGGCGAAAGCCUGAUCCAGCAAUGCCGCGUGUGUGAAGAAGGCCUUCGGGUUGUAAAGCACUUUUGUCCGGAAAGAAAUCCUUGGCUCUAAUACAGUCGGGGGAUGACGGUACCGGAAGAAUAAGCACCGGCUAACUACGUGCCAGCAGCCGCGGUAAUACGUAGGGUGCAAGCGUUAAUCGGAAUUACUGGGCGUAAAGCGUGCGCAGGCGGUUUGCUAAGACCGAUGUGAAAUCCCCGGGCUCAACCUGGGAACUGCAUUGGUGACUGGCAGGCUAGAGUAUGGCAGAGGGGGGUAGAAUUCCACGUGUAGCAGUGAAAUGCGUAGAGAUGUGGAGGAAUACCGAUGGCGAAGGCAGCCCCCUGGGCCAAUACUGACGCUCAUGCACAAAAGCGUGGGGAGCAAACAGGAUUAGAUACCCUGGUAGUCCACGCCCUAAACGAUGUCAACUAGUUGUUGGGGAUUCAUUUCCUUAGUAACGUAGCUAACGCGUGAAGUUGACCGCCUGGGGAGUACGGUCGCAAGAUUAAAACUCAAAUGAAUUGACGGGGUCAUAGCUGUUUCCU